GUAAAUAAAAUCGGCCCAAAAUUAAUAAAUAAUCCAGCCCAACUCAAGCCCACUGAAAAUAAAUAACAAAGCCCAAUAAAAUAAUAACUAGGAGGCCCAAAUUUUUCGGCCCAACUCAAUUAAAAAUAAAGGCCCAAUCACAGCCCAAAUACUAAAAUAAAUAAAGCCCAAAGAAUUGGCCCAACUCCAUCUUCUUCUCCUUCAAACACGGUCCAUACCAUUCUCUCACCCACACAAUUUCAGAUCUCUCUCUCUCUUCAAAGAAACGCACACACAGACGCACAUCUCACCCUCUCACGCGAUCUGCCGCCGCCGCCUGAGACCCGCGAAGGAUCCGGCGCAACCGCCGCCGACAGAUGUUGCUGUUGCCGCUGCUGUCUGAGAUCGGUGGUCAAAACGCCUGCUGGAGGAACGCCGCUGCCGUCAGCUCGUCCGAAGUCGCCGCCAACUACCGCUGCUGUUUCGCCGGAGUUGCGGCCUGGAGCUGCUGCAGCUCGUUCGGUGGUCAGUGGCUCGUUGGAGGAGCGCCGCCGUCGGCCGCUGCUGUUGACAGCAAGAGCCCGGCAGCCGCCUCUCCCGGAGCCGCCGUCGCCGUGAGUCGCAGAGCUCCGACAGUCCA
rnacentral:lncRNA from 1 species